rnacentral:rRNA from 1 species
AACGAACGCUGGCGGCAUGCCUAACACAUGCAAGUCGAACGAGACCUUCGGGUCUAGUGGCGCACGGGUGCGUAACGCGUGGGAACCUGCCCUUAGGUUCGGAAUAACUCCCCGAAAGGGGUGCUAAUACCGGAUAAUGUCUUCGGACCAAAGAUUUAUCGCCAUUGGAUGGGCCCGCGUUGGAUUCGCUAGUUGGUAGGGUAAAAGCCUACCAAGGCGACGAUCCAUAGCUGGUCUGAGAGGAUGAUCAGCCACACUGGGACUGAGACACGGCCCAGACUCCUACGGGAGGCAGCAGUAGGGAAUAUUGGACAAUGGGCGAAAGCCUGAUCCAGCAAUGCCGCGUGAGUGAUGAAGGCCUUAGGGUUGUAAAGCUCUUUUACCCGGGAUGAUAAUGACAGUACCGGGAGAAUAAGCUCCGGCUAACUCCGUG